GUGAUAUCUUUAUGGAGGCGUAUAAAACAGGGUCAAGAAGUUUGUACCAGAAACAGACCCAAAGAGUAGGGAAAAAGGACUGGUUUAAUGCAAGGUGUGCUAAGGCAAAAGAAAAAAAAAAGAGACAAAGCAAGGAAAAGACUAAAAAGAAAUAAAAACCAAAGGAAUAAAGAAGAUUUUAAGGCAGCGAGAAAUGAAUACGUGAAAAUAAGGAAGGAAGAAGAGAAGGGAUAUGAAAAGGAUAUUGCGGAAAAGUGUAAGGAACAACCCAAACUAUUUUACAGAUUCAUAAAUGAAAAGAUUGAACCAAGAGAAACAACUGACAGACUGAGCGACGGGAGUGUGACAACCGCUGAUCCUCAAUACACGGUGGAGUUACUAAACAAAGAGUUCCGGCAAGUUUUUACUAAAGAAUCAACGAACCACAAGAAAACAACACAAAUGUUCACAUGGAGGAAGUCUCAGUAUAUAAAGAGGAGCUAUAUAAACCGUUGGGGGAGCUGGAAGAGAGGAAAGCUGUAGGCAGGUAGGCGGUGGCUGAGUGGUAGCGUGCUGGGCCCACAUUCACCGCGUGAUGGAUGACGCGGGUUCGAAUCCCCACGCUACCACCUAGGAUUUUUCAGUCACCGCUGAGUGGCUUAAAACUACCUACAUGCUGUCUUGAAGACCACCCAUCAACCCGGACUCUAGAGGAAACUGUCCAAGUGAAUCAAGAAGGAGUUCUGGGGGGCAGCAUGAGCCAAGAGAAGAUGGCGCCACUAUAAACACUUGCCUGCGCCAUGACGGGCUGGGGCCGAACACCAUCCAGGCCCCUCAAGCAAGCCUACCAGCGCUAUAGGCAUAGACGUAAAAAACAAAACAAAAAAAAAAACAGAUGGAGUCUCAGGGUAUAUCUUAACAUUUCUGUUUUUCUAUAUAUUUAUUUCCUUACAAUCUUCCACUUCCCUUAGUUUAGCUGUUCUGUGUGUGUGUGUGUGUGUGUGUGUGUGUGUGUGUAGCAGCCACAUCACUCACCCACUGUGGUGUGUCUGUGGGCCUGGCCGAGGGUGCAGGCAGCAGCUGCAGGCGGCGUCCAGCAGGCACACGGCCCCUCUCCAGGCCUGUGGGCAGGGCACUCACCCGCAGAGUGCCGGCACCUUCUUCUUCCUCUUCAUUAAUCCUACGCUACUCACUCUUCAUUCAUUCUUCUCCAGACCUCUGAGGCCCAGCAUGCUUUCCUUCCUCCCUCUCUGGUCUUUCUUCUUCUGUAUUCUUCAAUUAUUUUUCUCUGGGUGUUUCCGUCAAGUGUGUUCCACGCGGCACACUGCUGUACUGCCUGUGCCUUUAUCUCCCCUCAGCCCCAGCACAGUGCUCAGCCUUCCCUGCUGGAGCCACUUGCCCAUCCAUCACCCAGCCACUGGCCAACAAUACAAGGCUUGACAAGCACCACCGGAGUGUUCCUGCCUUGACCCAUUACAUAUUCUGCCUUCAAUUCCCUCGGGGCAGCAACCCUAACAAGCCAUCACAGCUCCCAGGCCGGCACUCUGCACCAGUGGUCUCUGCUGGGCCGGGUUUAACAAGUCCAUCACAGCUCCCAGGCCGGCACUCUGCCCCAGUGGUCUCUGCUGGGCCGGGUUUAACAAGUCCAUUGCAGCUCCCAGGCCGGCACUCUGCCCCAGUGGUCUCUGCUGGGCCGGGUUUAACAAGCCAUCACAGCUCCCAGGCCGGCACUCUGCCCCAGUGGUCUCUGCUGGGCCGGGUUUAACAAGCCAUCACAGCUCCCAGGCCGGCACUCUGCCCCAGUGGUCUCUGCUGGGCCGGGUUUCUUGUGGAGCGCAGGGAAACUUGACAAACCCUCACACAGCGUCCCCUUGGUAAUCCUGCUGAUGGUCUGUUGUGGCGGCCCGAGUCACUGCUGCUGCACUGUGCCGGGGCAAGGUGGCUCGGGGCAGACGGCACUGUUCACUGUGGUGUUGGCUGCUGCACUGUGCCGGGGCAAGGUGGCUCGGGGCAGAUGGCACUGUUCACUGUGGUGUUGGCUGCUGCACUGUGCUGGGGCAAGGUGGCUCGGGGCAGACGGCACUGUUCACUGUGGUGUUGGCUGCUGCACUGUGCCGGGGCAAGGUGGCUCGGGGCAGACGGCACUGUUCACUGUGGUGUUGGCUGCUGCACUGUGCCGGGGCAAGAUGGCUCGGGGCAGACAGCACUGUUCACUGUGGUGUUGGCUGCUGGACUGUGCCGGGGCAAGAUGGCUCGGGGCACACGGCACUGUUCACUGUGGUGUUGGCUGCUGCACUGUGCCGGGGCAAGAUGGCUCGGGGCACACGGCACUGUUCACUGUGGUGUUGGCUGCUGCACUGUGCCGGGGCAAGGUGGCUCAGGGCACACGGCACUGUUCACUGUGGUGUUGGCUGCUGCACUGUGCCGGGGCAAGAUGGCUCGGGGCAGACGGCACUGUUCACUGUGGUGUCGGUGCAUCCCUCAGCAGUCAGCCACAACACGGCGCCAGUCCUCCCCAGGUGGUGUUGAUGACUGGCUCCCCAUCACACACACACAGCAGCACAACACACCACCUCAGAAGUGGGUCUUCAUGUGCCCGGCAAUGUCUGCCUUCGUGUUAAAGUGCUUCCCACACACUUGAACUCUCUCAGGCCAGAGUGUCUGAACAUGUGACGCUCCAGGGUUUGCUUCUCUCUGAACCUUUCUCCACAUUCCAGACACUCAUGAGGCCUCUCACCAGUGUGUGUAAGGGUGUGUGUGUUGAGGCUACCCUUCUGUGUAAACCUUUGGCCACAAACUUCACAUUCAUGAGGCCUUUCACCAGUGUGUGUGUUGAGGCCACCCUUCUGUGUAAACCUUUGGCCACAAACUUCACAUUCAUGAGGCCUUUCACCAGUGUGUGUAAGGGCAUGUGUGUUGAGGCAACCCUUCUGUGUAAACCUUUUGCCACACUCUUGGCAUUCAUGGGGUCCUUCACCAGUGUGUGUAAGGGUGUGUGUGUUUAGGUCACUGUCUUUCUUUCACUAGUCUUUUCAUUCCUUUCUUUCUUUUGUGUUCUUGUUGUUUCUCCACGUCUGUCUUUCUCUCUUCAUCUUCUCUUUCGUCUUGUUCUUCAGCCAGGGCGGGGUUGCCAAACACUGUCCUCCACCGCCACCACAUACAGCAGCACCAC